AGUGAACGCUGGCGGCGUGCCUAACACAUGCAAGUCGAACGGAUUCAUAAAUUAGCUUGCUUUUUUAUGAAUUAGUGGCAAACGGGUGAGUAAUACAUAGGAAUCUACCUAGCAGUACAGAAUAACUUCUGGAAACAGAAGCUAAUACUGUAUACAGCUGAGAAGUGAAAGAUUUAUCGCUGUUAGAUGAGCCUAUGCAGGAUUAGCUAGUUGGUGAGGUAAAAGCUUACCAAGGCUAUGAUCCUUAGCUGGUCUGAGAGGAUGUACAGCCACACUGGAACUGAGACACGGUCCAGACUUCUACGGAAGGCAGCAGUGGGGAAUAUUGGACAAUGGGCGAAAGCCUGAUCCAGCAACGCCGCGUGAGUGAUGAAGGCCUUAGGGUCGUAAAACUCUUUCAGUAGGGAAGAUAAUGACGGUACCUACAGAAGAAGCCCCGGCUAACUUCGU
rnacentral:rRNA from 1 species